rnacentral:rRNA from 1 species
AUAAAUCACAAUGCGGAACAAUGUUUUGCAAUUGGAUUGAGAACAACGUACAAACCUUAUCGAUAAACAAUUGGAGGGCAAGUCUGGUGCCAGCAGCCGCGGUAAUUCCAGCUCCAAUAGCGUAUAUUAACGUUGUUGCAGUUAAAAAGCUCGUAGUUGAAAUGAAGGGUAGUUGUGUAAUGAAUACAUUCGUGUAUUUUGUUAUUCUACUACCCUCCUUCUAAAUUCGAUAUAUGAGUAUUAAUUUACUUGUAUAUGGUUUUAGACCUUUACUGUGAGAAAAUUAGAGUGUUCAAAGCAGGCAUUUGCUUGAAUAUAUUAGCAUGGAAUAAUCAUGUAUGAUUUUCAUGAUGUAUUUGAUUGGUUUGGUUCAUGAGAAUAAGAUUAAAAGGGACAGUUGGGGGUAUUCAUAUUCAAUAGUCAGAGGUGAAAUUCUCGGAUUUA